AUUGAACGCUGGCGGCAGGCCUAACACAUGCAAGUCGAGCGAGCGGCGGACGGGUGAGUAAUGUCUGGGAAACUGCCUGCUGGAGGGGGAUAACUACUGGAAACGGUAGCUAAUACCGCAUACCAUCAGAUGUGCCCAGAUGGGAUUGGCGAGUAGGUGGGGUAACGGCUCACCUAGGCGACGAUCCCUAGCUGGCCUGAGAGGAUGACCAGCCACACUGGAACGGAGACACGGUCCAGACUCCUACGGGAGGCAGCAGUGGGGAAUAUUGCACAAUGUGCGAGAGCCUGAUGCAGCCAUGCCGCGUGUAUGAAGAAGGACUUCGGGUUGUAAAGUACUUUCGGCGGGGAGGCGUUACCCGCAGAAGAAGCACCGGCUAACUCCGUGCCAGCAGCCGCGGUAAUAC
rnacentral:rRNA from 1 species